rnacentral:rRNA from 1 species
UACGGGGGGUGCGAGCGUUGUCCGGAAUCACUGGGCGUAAAGGGCGCGUAGGUGGUUUGAUAAGGGUGUGGUGAAAGUCCGGGGCUCAACCCCGGAUCUGCCGUGCCGACUGUCAAACUCGAGGGCUGUAGAGGCAGACGGAAUUCCGGGUGUAGCGGUGGAAUGCGUAGAGAUCCGGAGGAAGACCGGUGGCGAAGGCGGUCUGCUGGGCAGUUUCUGACGCUGAGGCACGAAGGUCAGGGGAGCAAACGGG